rnacentral:rRNA from 1 species
UGGGGAAUAUUGCACAAUGGGGGAAACCCUGAUGCAGCGACGCCGCGUGAUUUAGAAGGCCUUCGGGUUGUAAAAAUCUUUUGUAUGGGAAGAAAAUGACAGUACCAUACGAAUAAGGACCGGCUAAUUACGUGCCAGCAGCCGCGGUAAUACGUAAGGUCCGAGCGUUGUCCGGAAUCAUUGGGCGUAAAGGGUACGUAGGCGGAUAAGCAAGUUAGAAGUGAAAUCCUAUAGCUCAACUAUAGUAAGCUUUUAAAACUGCUCAUCUUGAGGUAUGGAAGGGAAAGUGGAAUUCCUAGUGUAGCGGUGAAAUGCGCAGAUAUUAGGAGGAAUACCGGUGGCGAAGGCGACUUUCUGGCCAUAAACUGACGCUGAGGUACGAAAGCGUGGGUAGCAAACAGG